GAAACAUGGAGAGCAAAGAGCUCCUGGCAAACUUGGUGGCUUUGGGAAUUUUUGCAAUCACAGUCAUAGUGAACAUCUGCAUCCAGUUAGGUACGGGUGUGAUUUAUGUUUUCUGGAGGGAAUACGCAGUUACCAUGGCUGUUAUGAUAAUUUUGCUAGCACUCAUGAUUUCUUCAGCUUUGACGAUUCCUAUGACAAAGAGUUACUUUGAUCUCAAAUACAAGAAAAAACAUAAAUUAGCAGUGAAAGAGUGCAAUGAUAAAUCUAACAGAUGCCCAUCCCAGAAAGCAUCUCACAGAUUGAAGGAAGAUUUGACAAAAUACUGGAUCAUGGCACACACCUGUAACCCCCAGUUUGUCAUGGCGCGCAUAGCAACAUGCAGUGCCUCAGGAGCAUUCUGCCUUUUGAGCACCGCAACUUUAGCAGAAGCUAUGAUCCGUUGUUUCUUCAUGCCCUGGGAGUUCAAGUUCUGUGUGGGAGACUCAGAUUUCAAGUGGUCAACUACGCUCAUUUUAAUAAUUCA
rnacentral:lncRNA from 1 species